UACGUAGGGGGCUAGCGUUGUCCGGAUUUAUUGGGCGUAAAGAGCUCGUAGGUGGUUCGGUAAGUCGGAUGUGAAAUCUCCAGGCUCAACCUGGAGGGGUCAUUCGAUACUGCCGUGACUAGAAUUCGGUAGGGGAGACUGGAAUUCCUGGUGUAGCGGUGAAAUGCGCAGAUAUCAGGAAGAACACCUAUUGCGAAGGCAGCUCGCUGGGACGUAACUGACGCUGAGACGCGAAAGCGUGGGGAGCAAACAGG
rnacentral:rRNA from 1 species